CAGAUAUUAGUUUAUUAAAAAUUGGUGCUUUGGGAGCUCUAGAAUCUAUCUUUUUUAGAAUAUCUGA
rnacentral:tRNA from 1 species